AGAGUUUGAUCCUGGCUCAGGACGAACGCUGGCGGCGUGCUUAACACAUGCAAGUCGAACGAUGAUGCCAGCUUGCUGGUGGAUUAGUGGCGAACGGGUGAGUAACACGUGAGCAACCUGCCCCUGACUUCGGGAUAACCGCGGGAAACCGUGGCUAAUACCGGAUAUGACGCGCUAUCGCAUGGUGGUGUGUGGAAAGAUUUAUCGGUUGGGGAUGGGCUCGCGGCCUAUCAGCUUGUUGGUGGGGUGAUGGCCUACCAAGGCGACGACGGGUAGCCGGCCUGAGAGGGUGACCGGCCACACUGGGACUGAGACACGGCCCAGACUCCUACGGGAGGCAGCAGUGGGGAAUAUUGCACAAUGGGCGCAAGCCUGAUGCAGCGACGCCGCGUGAGGGAUGACGGCCUUCGGGUUGUAAACCUCUUUCAGUAGGGAAGAAGGCCUUCGGGUUGACGGUACCUGCAGAAGAAGCGCCGGCUAACUACGUGCCAGCAGCCGCGGUAAUACGUAGGGCGCAAGCGUUGUCCGGAAUUAUUGGGCGUAAAGAGCUCGUAGGCGGUUUGUCGCGUCUGCUGUGAAAACGCGAGGCUUAACCUCGCGCCUGCAGUGGGGUACGGGCAGACUAGAGUGCGGUAGGGGGAGACUGGAUUUCCUGGGUGUAGCGGUGGGGAUGCGCAGAUAUCAGGAGGGAACACCGGGUGGCGAAAGGCGGGGUUCUCUGGGGCCCGUUUACUUGGACGCCCUG
rnacentral:rRNA from 1 species